CAAGGAUUGGUCAAGUGACCACUUAGUCGCAUGCAAUUUCUCGACACCAUGCAAACGCCGAGGAGGAGGGAGGCAGCUUUUUUUCUGUGGAACCUCGUGCGACUGGAAUGGAGCAGUGCAACGAGAAAGAAGUUGAAGGAAGAAUUGGACUGAAAUCCAUGACUUUCAUUGUAGUAUCAAUUUUCAUGGAGAGAGAUUUUUCCGAGUUUUUAACUCGGAGUGAUGUACGACUGAAUUCUUGAAGAACGAAAAAUCGUCGCCUCCUCCUCAAGUGAUAAAUGCAGAGAAGGAUUAACGGUACAUUGAGAUGCCUGGAUGCUGCACUUAGAUAGCAAUAAAUAAAUGGAGUUACGCGACACGAAGUAUCCCAGCAUCGCCUCCGCGGGAGAAUCUCAUCGUAUUGCGCUUGGACCAUUAUACAGCUCGUACAAUCAAUUACAGAGCCGAGGACGAG